GCCUUUACCUGCUCCCUCCUAUACUGAUGUGGUGUAUGUGGUAUUGCUGAGCUUGUGGAAGCAGAAUAUGUGAGGAUUACUACUGCUGCACAUGUUCCAAGGCUUUUUACACAACUUGACCAAUACACUGACCAGCUCAUAAAAGUCUUCAAGAAAAAAGGAGGCGUUGCAGUGAAGAAAAUUAGACAAACUUUGGCCCCAGCCACACAGAAGGAAAGUAUUGAAAAGGGGAGGGAGUGUGUCCUCAGGGCACUACCUUUUUACCUGAAUGAAGACCCAAGCAUCCUCUUCAAAGAAUAAUUGCUACAGCUGUUCAGAGGGAGCUGGAACAAAUUACCCUUGCUAUCUUCACCAUCGAAAGAGCUG
ensembl:lncRNA